rnacentral:lncRNA from 1 species
AGAGAGAUCCACUGACUGGAGGAGGAGGAGGCAUAGAGGUGGAUGGUCCAGCCGAGCUGGAAGGUAUAUCAGGAAAAGCCAUGGGACUAUGUGGAGGUGAGAGGUGGUCAGGCUCCUGAUGUGGGAUCUCGGGCUCUAAGGUUUGGGAUUUUCUUUUAGGGACCUUAACCCAAGACCCAUCUUUCUUGUGAAACUCCAUUCUAUGCAAUGUGCUCUCAUUGUAGUAAU